AUGUGCCACCACGGUAUCACUAGAAGCCGUAAGGUAACUUGCUCGGCGACGGGCCUGUACGAACCUUUGUUUUUCAGGGGUGAAGGUCUGAAGGAGCUGCAUGCUCGGGAUCCAGCAAUGCAAGAUGAUCUUUCCAGUUAUGGAAUAACGAUUGAGCUAUCUUGCCACGAUAACUCGCUCCACAGACCAUGGUGCCUUGCCGCAUUGCUGCAGCUCGUCGACUUUGGCAUACACGGGCAUGUUCCUGAUCCAAGACGUCCUUCACCCUCCCGGAACGAGCGGCACCAUCCGAAGGGAGCUCCGGUUGAAUAUAUAACAUCAUGUAUUUUUCUGGACGCCCAAACAGAAACAAGAAGUUUGCCUCUGAUGGACUGCAAAAAUAUUCUUCUUUGCCUUAUGGUGCUUCUGCUGCUAGGAAAUUCCACUCAUGAUGAGUGUGAACUGCACGUUGCUUUUACAGGCCCUGCAUGCAUCGCAUUAACUUGCCAAUAUGCAUGCCAAAGUUCCUGGGGAGAUCACAGCAAGCAAGCUUAUUGUGUCUCUGUUAAUGUUGCCACUUGGAACUGUAGUUGCAACGUAUGUUUUGUGAUUGUGUGUCUGUAUGGCUCUCUUUCUACGGCGCUGGCAUCCGACAUGCACAUGAAUGAUCAGUCCAUGGCCUUCCAGGAGCCAUCAUGGGCGCCGGCCAGAGCGGCCUGGCCGCGUGCGAGCAUACACUGGCGCGCGGCCUCCUACCAACCAUCUACGAGUCCUCCAAUGCCAUCGGCGGUUGUGCACUCACUGGCCUCUACGUGGCUGUAUGUGUAUCCGGGCGUCCGGGAGGAGGACAAGGACGUGUUGUGUGACCGUGAUCUAUGCUACAACGAAUCACCCACCGCACAACAGUCUCUAAGCACCCUCGACAGGUGGGUUUUAAUCUUUUUUGGCACUGGAUUUGCGUCGCCACUCGAGCUCCCAGCUAAUUUUAUAGUCAAGGCCUUAAUGGACAUAGCAGAUGAUUUCAUUGGAUCAAAUUCAAUAUUGCAAAAUCUAGAAUAUCUGCUACUCCCUCGGUUCCAUAUUUUUAUUGACUCUCAAACGAAUGACGGAUCGGUGCAGCCCCGUGUUGCAUCACGGAUGAGUAAAAAUCAUAGGCGACUUCGGGACCGGAGUACCAUGCAGGAGCUAAUACGAGUCGCCGUACGAAUUGGAGGCGCCAGCCCCAGGCGGAGGUUUGGCGGACGUGUCCGGCGGCGGCGGCCGCUGAUCCGAGGCGACAUCGAUCAUCGACGACAGGCCGGAGUACACCGAGACGAGCGGACAUCAUCUAAUGGUCGUUGUACAAGCUGGACUUCUGCUUUGUCAUACCUGAACUUCUGCUUUUCCUUCGUUGGAUCCUGUCGGGACUGGGGCGGCUCGGGAUCGGGAUCGGGGGGAGGAUCAGGUGGAUCCUGUGUGUCUGGCUGGGUUUCUGUGCUGGACUUCUGCGUUGUCAUACCUGAACUUCUUCUUUUCUUUCGUUGCAAGAUAAUGCAGCAAAUUGCAUUCCACAUUUGCAAGGCGAAGAUGUUCUUUUUAUACUUUUGUCUCGUGAGCAAUCAUGGGAUUAGCCCAAACAUUAAAAUCGGGCGUAUUGACAAAUGCGAUAGCGCGAGGCUGAGCAGGGGGGAGGGGGGAGGGACCCCCUCCCCUCCCCCUGCGAGGCUGAGACAGGAACGAGCCGGAGCAGGCGACGAUGCGGCGCGCCGCGUCGUCGCAUGCGGAGGCGAGUCUGUCACAUCCGUGACCCCACUAUCUAUCUUAGGCGCGCAACAAUGCGGUAGCGCGAGGCCGAGCAGGGGGGAGGGGGAGGGACCCCCCUCCCCUCCCACUGCGAGGCCGAGACGGGAACGAGCCGGAGCAGGCGACGACGCGGCGUGCCGCGUCGGCGCAUGCGGAGGCGAGUCCGUCACAUCCGUGACCCCACUAUCUAUCUUAGGGUUUUUAGGGUUUAGAGAGGCAUUAACUGAGCAUCUCGCUCACCACCACCUGUCAGAAAACCCCUCUCCCCCUGUCGGUCGCUCCGCUGCCUUCGUCGCCUCCAACUCCCCCCAAUUUCUCCGCCCCUGUCCCCUGCCCUCGUGCUGGAGUAACCGGCGCACGCCCCCGCUCCUAUUUCUCCCCCACGCCCCGCUCUCCCUGGCCCAGCCCGCUCUCUUCUGCUCUGAAGCGAGGGCGGCAACUGCCUGCGCGGUUGCAAGUUGCGCGUGGCGUCGUGGGGAGUGGAAAAACCGCUGCGGAUUCGUGCGUGCGGGGGUUGUUUCGAGAGGUACAAAUGCUGCCCUCCCCCUAAUGCUUGCCUUUAGUUUCGCCAGAUCUGCCGAGGUCCUUGUGCGUGUGGUGGGUGGAUUCCAUUCCCCCGUGGUCAGAUUUGUCUAUGAGAUGCUUCAUUCAGAUGCAUGUUGUUCUAGGGUUUGGAGUUUCAUUCAUCAAGGGGGUUGUGUUUUCAUGGCUUCCAAACCUUCUCCAGGUAUUGUUGAACUUCUGGGUAUUGGACAUUGUUGUCGAAUUGGUGAUCAGUUGAAUAGUUCUGAUAAAAAUGCCUGUGAUCAAGAUGGAGCUUCAGAAGUUAAUACUGAUGCUCCAAUAUCUGAUGCGGCUAAAUCACCCAUGAUCCCUUUGACUGUGAUUGCUGAGGUUGCUUCGAGCCUUGAGAAUUUUUCAAGCCUCGAGGAUCUUGCUUCUGCAGCUCUUGCUUCACCUAAUGUGUCCACAGAGGAGGAAGUUGUGAACACCAUCAAUGAUGUUUUAUCUGAGUUGGGUUUAUCAGAAACCCCUGCUGCUACUGAGGAGGGGGCUCCGUCAGUCAAAGGUUCUGAUUCCGUUCCGGAUCCUUUGUGCUCUCUUCAGAUGUCAGAGACGCAAUCACAGUCUGUUGAUGGCACUGAACCUGUCACGCAACCCGAGGAUGUGCCUCUUCAGCUUCUCCUGGAGGACCAACGUAAGAGGAAGAAGCAAGAAGAUUUUGACAAGAAGAGGGUGGCCCGCCUUGAGAAAGGUUCUAAUGUUCCUGGAUCUGUUCAUGCGGCUGAGCUCACGGUUGAGGAAGAUGUGUCGUGUGGCAGUGAUGGCACGGUUGUCCCUAUUAAGAAGAAAAUCAAGAAGACCGCUGCGAGGAAGCUAGUAGUUGGUGAAGUUACUCCUCGGAGGAGCCCGCGUGUUUCAAGGCCUGUAGAAGUUGCUGAAGAAGAAGGGCUAGGCUUCGGUGGUACGCCACGCCGUAGUCCUCGUGGGAAGAAAUGCGGCGUCAAGCGCAAGGUUGCACCUGCAAAGGUCAAUAAGGGUGUGAAGAAGUGUUCUCGUGUUAAUCCAGAGGACAAGGAUGAUGCUCAUUUCAAUGCUGAUGACGAGGACGACGAGGAUGAUGAUGCUGCCGCUAAUCAGUAUCAGCUUGUGGACCGGCCUGAGAGGAGGAAGAGAGGAGGCAAAGCGCCCGAAGAAGGUGGCCAAGGAGGAGGUGAGGCGAAACGUUUUAACAAGACGGUUCGCUGCUCACUAGGAGAGGUCAAGACGUGUGCGAAAAUGCUACAACCUAGGCACAAGACAAGGGUUAUCAAGUCUGGUUUUGGUUGUGUGUUUGACUUGAAGGUUGAUUCCAACAUUUCUCGUCCUUUGAUGGGCAACAUCUACACGAGGAUUGACCCUUCAACCAUGAUUUUGGACAUGGGUGAGGCGAACAAGGUUCUACAUAUUACAAGUGAUGCUAUUCACCAUCUCUUUGGGUUCCCUCAAGGUAAUCGUAACCCCCCUAGGCCCUCGAAUGAUUGUUUCGAUGAUGCUUUUAUGAGGUUGAAGGGCAAGUUUGGGUAUGCUAGGAGUGACGACAUCAAGACAAAGUAUUUGCGAAAUAUCCUCGCUGAACUUGUGAAGGAUGAGACGAAGGAUGAUCUUGCUCUGCAGGUGUUUUACCUUAUUGUUUUCAUGAAGGUGGUUAUCCCUGGAACGUCUACACGAGUGUCCAGGGAGGCAGCAAUGGCUGAGAAUCUUGUGUUUGAGGAUAUGGCAAACAUGGACUACUGCCAGUUGGUUGUUGACGAUAUUCGGAGUGCUGUUGUUAGGUAUCAGCAAGGUACUAGCAGAGGAAAAGCUGUCACUGGCUGGGCCAUCGCGCCGCUUCUUAUGUAUCUGGACUGCCUUAUCAUUGGCAAGAUGCCUAAUAUUGACUUGAGGACCCCUCGCAUCAAUUUCAUGGAUCAGGUCAAGCUUCUUGAGCUUGCUGCAGCUGACUUGGUCAAGAAGGGUGAUGAUGACCCAGUCCACUGGGUGUUUGGGAGACUGCAUAAUUUGUUUGAAGCUGCCAAUGUUUCGCUGGUUAGGAUUGACGGUCUUCUUGAAACUGUUUGUGGGGAGUUGGCUCGUGUUCCUUCAACUGUUGAGCGUCUUAGUCGCGUUGAUGGGAUUCUUCCUCCCGGACACGGAUUUGAUGCUGAGUCUUCGAAGGAGGUCUUAUCUAUUGAAGCUAGAUUUCUUGAAGAGCUUCGUCAGAGCACUUCCCACCUCCGGACUAGCAUUGGGCUGUUCAAGGAAAUGCAGGAUGCUCGUUGCAAGCCUUUUGAAGAUGAGGCAAGUGUUGUUGUGAGACAGAUUCAGAGGCAGGAUUCUGUUCAUUCGUGUUGUGAAGGAGGCCACGUGGAGCAUACCAAAGAGGCUGUUGAUGAUGAUGCUAGGGUUGAGGAGUAUGUUUUACCUGCGCAUGAAGUUGCUGUUCAUGAGGCUGCCCCUGUGCAUGAACCUGCUCCCGCUAGUGAUGUAUUAGUUGAUGAGGUUCAUGGCAGUAAAAAUAAGGAUGAUGAUGUUAGUGUUCCUCCAGAGAAGGUUGCAGACAAGUCCGUCUCAGGCAUCGGCUGCUCCAACGGGGUGGACCUGACUGAACCUCAAUCGUCCAUUGGCGCUGAGGUUUCUGAUGCUGAGCAGGGCAAGACAACUGGAGACAUCAUUUUGGAGAAAGAUCUUGUUGAGCCUGCUGUUGAGACUGGUGGUAGUGCUGCUGCAAGCCCGGAGAAGUCUCCUGCAGCAGAGCCAUCAGUGGAUGUUGAUGCUGUACAAACACAACCAACUGUUUUUGUUGUUUCAGAUUCUCCAGCUGCCCCAGCUGCUGCUGCUGUCCUUCCCGAUGACGCUGCAACGUCUACUGGAGAUGACGAUGAAGAGACCGAAAGCGAUAGCUAUGGAGAGGAGGUUGAUCAUUCCAUUGCUGCCACUGAUAGCGACCUUGUUGUCGUCCGAAAGAAGGUUGAUAACUUUUAUUACAGUGUAACUAGGCUUAAGAAUAAUCGUUCCAAGAGAUCAAUGAUUAUGUUCCAAAACAAGGAGUGUGAAGCUUCUGUUGAAGAUGUUGCAAUAUCUUUUGGUCCUCGUGGAAUGCUUAGAUCUAAUGUGGCUGAGUGUGCACUCUACUGUCUACGUGCAAAGUACCAGGGAUCGGAUAAACUCAUCCUGCCGUAUUGGGUUUGUGACAAGAUUUUCAGAGGUCAAUUUGAUUCCCGUGUGAGGAAGUACUUCUUGGCGAGUGGUCCAGAUAGCAUGGAUGCACAUGAUUCGGUUGUUUUCCCCACUUUUGACCCGCCUGAGAUUCCUGCUUCCAUGGGUGGUGUUGGUCAUUGGGUUUCAAUAUUUCUUGACGUGAAGAAUUCAAGGUUCCAACUUCUCAACUCCUAUUAUGGACCAGAAGAUGAAUGUGCGGUACGCCUGUUUCGGCGGAUGACCGACAACAUCAAGAAGCUUUGGAGCGAUGCCAGCAACGACAGGGAGACACCCUUCAGUCCUCUUACCAUCGACCAUUUCGCUCUGGAUUGGAUUGAUGUGCCCCAGCAGCAAAACAAUAUCUACUGCGGAUUCUUCAUGCUUACGAAUGUUAAUUCGUAUCAUGACGGGGUUCUUGCAAAUUAUUCCCAUGAGAAUAUCGCGGAUAUCAGGAAGACGUGGUUGUACUCAAUCGCUUCUUCUAACCUGUUUGAGACAGACUUCGAAGCUAUGUUUGGCUACUACACAUUGGAUCCGUUGGACUUGACCGAUUACCACUACUCAUUCCUCGGGUCACAGGAAUACCAGUCUAGGGAGGAAUCAAUGAGUACAGCUCCGAUAGAAGAUGAUAGACCUCGAACCCUUAUUCCUUCCAAGAAGGCUGAUGUAGUCCAAGCAGCCGAAGCAGAAGUUAUUUCGUCCGAUGAUGAUAUUGAGAAGAUUGCUUACCCGAAGAAUGUUAAAUGUAAUGCUGGUACAGUUGCUGGUAGAGGUAGGAAGAAUGCUGUCAUCACUAGGAGGAAACCGGCAGUUGAGUCUGGGAACAUAAUUUCCUCCAAGAGAGCAUCAAGAUUGCCUUUGAAGACCAGCUACUGCAUGUUUACCAUCUGUGCGAAUGUGAUUGACCUCACAGGACGUGUCCUUUAUACUCUUUUCGGUGAAGGGCAGCAGAUGGAAGGAGACAUAAUGGAUUAUCUCAUAAAUUUGUGGAAGGAUAAGCCGGAGACCUCUGAGAUAUUCACUAGUGCUGACAGGGUUGUACUUAGUCCCUACUUCAUACAGUACUGCCUGGAGUAUGAUUUCUUCGGUGCAACAGUUCCAAAGUUUGAUGCAAAAAAAUCUGCUGGUCUCCUCCCAAUGUUUGUUCGCAAGGAAGAAGACCUUCUUAAUGCAAAGAUGGUUUUCUUGAUACUAUUUAAGCCAAUUGGCACAAUGGCGCACUACAGUGUGUAUGUGGUGAAUAGAUAUCGUGGGAGCAUUGACAUCCUUGAUUCACUUCCUUACGCUAAUAUGGAAACGUCGCGAACGAGUUUCCACGGGGACUGUCAAAAUAUCAUCAAGAGAUUUGUUGGGUUGCUCGAGGAGGUGUACGGCAAGGCUGCGUACAAAUUCUGCUCUUCGUAUGAUGGCGAUGAAAUUGCUGAAGAUUUUGGUGAUGUGGAAGCUGCUGCAGAUGACUGGAAGGCUGAGUUCAUGCACACUCUGAUUUUUAGCGAGAAGAAUGAAGUCAUGCGUUCAGAGCUCCCUAAAGAGAUCCAGUCCUUUGGCCCAUGA
rnacentral:rRNA from 1 species